rnacentral:lncRNA from 1 species
ACUUGUUCGCUCAUGUGGUGGUAGGAUUGGAGCUUUUGCAAUGGAAAGCUAGCUGGCGGGUGAGUUAGUUCCUUGUGUUUUGCUCCGUGUUCGCUAUGUGAUUGCUAGUCACUGCACUGAAGUUCAUGGAAGAUUUUCAUCCAAUCGAUAUCAUUCGAUGCAGCUGCUAAGUGCAAUGAACAUUACAUGUAUACGUAUAUAUCCGCGGGGGACGUUGGUUGCCUGAGUUGCCUCGUCCCCACCUUGCGGAUGGUCGACCAUCCAACUACCGACUUUGAGAAAUCGUUUUCAGUGAUUCGCAAUGAAGUUAGAGAAGAUACAGAUGUCGGUGGAUCGUGCUUUUGAGGUACUGGGGAUACACACCACAGCACCUGAGCAACUACAAAAGCUUGUAGCUUCAAGCAGCGGCAAGGAUGCAUUCACCAACUUACCAACAAGAUUUGGCGGUUUUUCUUCGUUAUGCACCGAUAUUUAGACGGUAUGAUUACACGUACCGCUUAUAAACCUCGAGGGUUUGUAUUCUGUGUUGAGUACCACAGCAAAGUUAAUAACAAAUUAAUCAAAUGUUUCACGUUGAUACAUUCUAUAAUAAUUCAUAAUUGACCUGAGUAUACUGAUCGUUAAACAUCACCUGAUCUGCAAAUAAUGGCCCGACGUAUUGAGAGGAAUCCCCAUUUAACUGAUGGACUAAGGACUAAUCCUUUCAUUUACAUAUUGCCCUCUGCCAACUGCACAUUUAUUGCACUGAGCGCAUUAUAACCCAUGCGAGAACGCAUUUUGUCAAGUCGUUAUAGACAAGUCGGAACUCGGCCAGUUAUGCUACUUCAUAUUUGUCCCGAGCCGAUGGAUUUCGAAGGAAGUUCAUGGACAAGCAAACCCGUAUACGCGACUAAUUAUCAAAUCUAGAAAGUAACCGCCGGCAUUCAGACAAUGCCGGUUGAAUUCAUGGUAUAUUGACUUCUGAUCUUAAGGGCAGUAAAAUGUAAUUAAGCAGGCUUGCGUGCAAAGAAAGAGAGAUCUGCAAAGAAAUGGAGGAAACGAAGUGAUGUGUACCAUAGUUUUGGUGCACCAGGAAGUGACGUAUCCGUCCAUAGACUUUGUACACGAUAUGGCAGUUCGUAAUGCAGCAACUAUCCAUGAUACCUUAGUUGGUGAUACAAGCGACGAAUUUCUGAUUUUUUUCAGUUGUUUUGAUAUCAGUAACGAUCUAAUGCAUUAUCUACGUGUCCACCUGUCCGUUAAAAUUAUCUUACAUAACAAAUAUGAGGGGCCUAAUCCCCCUUCGAAAAAUUCCCUGAUCCGCCCCCUGGUGUGGUCUUUGGUAACAGUGUUACAGCAACAACGCAACAGCCCAUAAAUACUAACAAUAUGAACAACACACAGUGUCAGUAUAAACAACAACUUGUGUUUGUUUCUGUUUCUCCACAUCCAAAAUCUUCUUUUUUUUUUCCUAGACCAAAUUUUUCAGAAUGUUCAUAGUUUGGGUCAAAGAAUUAUCCAACAUUUCCCAACUCUUAUGGCGACGCAAACGAAAACAAAACGGAAAAGGUAUACAGAAAAAUAAAACAGGACAGAAAUGGUAUUUUUUUAUCGUACCGACUUCAUCCUUGGCUUUGACAUGCUGCAUAAUUCCCUUCUGUAAAUGGUAAAUAAAAUAUACGGAAAUCCAUAAAAUAUUUUCGUCUGCCAAAAUGAUAUCCAUUCGUUUGCUUCCACGCCAGAAGAAAAACAUCCGGAUGCUUUUAUACGUGUUGAGUAGUUCAGUGAGGAUAUCACAAGGUGUUAUUUGGACCAAUGGUGUAACUAGAUUUCACCAUAGAGGA